rnacentral:rRNA from 1 species
CCUACGGGUGGCAGCAGUGAGGAAUAUUGGUCAAUGGACGAGAGUCUGAACCAGCCAAGUAGCGUGAAGGAUGACUGCCCUAUGGGUUGUAAACUUCUUUUAUAUGGGAAUAAAACGUUCCACGUGUGGGAUUUUGUAUGUACCAUAUGAAUAAGGAUCGGCUAACUCCGUGCCAGCAGCCGCGGUAAUACGGAGGAUCCGAGCGUUAUCCGGAUUUAUUGGGUUUAAAGGGAGCGUAGGUGGAUUGUUAAGUCAGUUGUGAAAGUUUGCGGCUCAACCGUAAAAUUGCAGUUGAAACUGGCAGUCUUGAGUACAGUAGAGGUGGGGGGAAUUCGUGGUGUAGCGGUGAAAUGCUUAGAUAUCACGAAGAACUCCGAUUGCGAAGGCAGUUCACUGGACUGCAACUGACACUGAGGCUCGAAAGUGUGGGUAUCAAACAGGAUUAGAUACCCUAGUAGUC